rnacentral:lncRNA from 1 species
GCCCCCUCUGGGCCGGGGCCGCUGGGCGAGGCCGCUGCUCUCGCGAGGCUGGCUCGUGGCGGCGCCUGGAGUGGGCGCGCCGGGCGCGCGGGCCGCUUGCCGUCAGGUUGUGGAGGGCGGGCCGCCCGGAUCAGGCCGGCCGAGGCGAGCGGGUCUGCGGCCUGCCCUGCGGGCUGGGCCGGCGCCCUUGUGUGCAGACGCGCGAGCGGCGCCCUGGCCGCCGGCGACAGAGCCCGGCUCCGAUAUCACUUCCUCAUCUUCCCGGACUCCUCCCAGACACGCUCUUGGGCGACCUCUGCUCUUCCUGUCUCUAUUUCCCUCCUCUGGAUUUACACAUGAAUGAAAUCAUAUAAUACGUUGUCUUUGUAGUUAACUUCAGUCGCUUAGCAUAGUUUUUUCAAGGAACACGCAUGUUGUAGCAUGUAUGAAUACUUCAUUUCUUUCUGUGUCCAAAAAAUAUUCCAUUGUAUGGAUAACACACGUGUUGUUUAGCUCUUUAUCCUUUAAUGGACAUUUGGUUUGUUUCUACCUUUUGGCUGUUAUGAAUAACUUUGCAGUAAACUUUCGUGUGUAAGUUUUUAUUUGAACGUAUUGACAAAUAGAAAUGGCAAGCAAUAGGAUAUAUUGGAGUAUAUGAGGAAGCCAUUUGGUGUAAACCUAAUUCCGCCUGACUUUGUUUUUUCCGAAAGGGGCUGACAUGGCCAUCAACCACGCAUUGUAUAUCUGCUUUAAACAUUUCCUAUGGCAAGAACAAAUGGCCUUAAGAUAAAGGUGCAACUCC